UACGUAGGCAGCGAGCGUUGUUCGGAGUUACUGGGCGUAAAGGGUGCGUAGGCGGUUUUCUAAGUUUGGUGUGAAAUCUCCCGGCUUAACUGGGAGGGUGCGCCGAAAACUGGAAGGCUUGAGUAUGGGAGAGGUAAGCGGAAUUCCUGGUGUAGCGGUGAAAUGCGUAGAUAUCAGGAGGAACACCUGCGGUGUAGACGGCUUACUGGACCAUAACUGACGCUGAGGCACGAAAGCGUGGGUAGCAAACAGG
rnacentral:rRNA from 1 species